ensembl:lncRNA
ACCAGACUUGGUGAAAAACUGAUGCACCACUGAGCAAAAAAAAAGUGGAGACCUGGCAUGUCAUGUCUUGGCAAUUACACUUGGGGUAAGUUUUGAAAUUGUGCCACAGUAAAUACUCUGGAAAGACUUUUACAACAAAUCUGUACCAGGCUUGGACUAACUGGAUGUACUCAACAAGGCACUUCAAUGCAACAAACCCUCACUGAAGAUACAAUACACUCAUGCAACGUCAGUUAUAACCUGGCAACCCCCGGCCUCUAUCAUACCAGGAGUCUCAGCAACGGACGUCUCACGCUGCCCCCUUCAGGUCCACACUGGUCCUUUCGUCUGGGAAACGAGCCUCUUUAUCUAC